AUUGAACGCUGGCGGCAUGCUUUACACAUGCAAGUCGAACGGUAACAGGCCUUCGGGUGCUGACGAGUGGCGAACGGGUGAGUAAUGCAUCGGAACGUACCCAGAGGUGGGGGAUAACGCAGCGAAAGCUGUGCUAAUACCGCAUGUGAUCUGAGGAUGAAAGCGGGGGACCGAGCAGCAAUGUUUGGCCUCGCGCCUUUGGAGCGGCCGAUGUCGGAUUAGCUAGUUGGUGGGGUAAAGGCCUACCAAGGCGACGAUCCGUAGCUGGUCUGAGAGGACGACCAGCCACACUGGGACUGAGACACGGCCCAGACUCCUACGGGAGGCAGCAGUGGGGAAUGUUGGACAAAGGGCGCAAGCCUGAUCCAGCAAUGCCGCGUGCGGGAAGAAGGCCUUCGGGUUGUAAACCGCUUUUGGCAGGAACGAAACGGUGUCCGCUAAUACCGGGCGCUAAUGACGGUACCUGCAGAAUAAGCACCGGCUAACUACGUG
rnacentral:rRNA from 1 species